rnacentral:misc_RNA from 1 species
GAGUCGUAACAAGGUUUCCGUAGGUGAACCUGCGGAAGGAUCAUUAACGAGGUCUGGGUCUCCGGCCCAACCUCUUCUACACACUUGUGCGUCUACCCUGUUGCUUUGGCAGGUCUCCGGCGCAGGGCUGCACCAGCAGCUCGGUGCCGGUCAGGUCGAAAGGCGCCUGCCAAAGACAUUCUAAAUGCCACCUUUUUCAUUUGUGUCUGACUAUAUUGUUUUUUACAAACGUAACAAAA